rnacentral:rRNA from 1 species
UACGGGGGGAGCAAGCGUUGUUCGGAUUUACUGGGCGUAAAGGGCGCGUAGGCGGUCAGCACAAGUCAGUUGUGAAAUCUCCGGGCUUAACUCGGAAAGGUCAACUGAUACUGUGCGACUAGAGUGCAGAAGGGGCAACUGGAAUUCUCGGUGUAGCGGUGAAAUGCGCAGAGAUCGGGAGGAACACCAGAGGCGAAGGCGGCGACCUGGACAGUCACUGACACUCAACUGCGAAAGCGUGGGGAGCAAACAGG